UGCGUGCGCCUGCGCGAUCGCACGGUUGGUUAUAAAUGCUCACGCCCAGAUCCGCACGUCCCUCUCGAGAUUUCGGACCUUCGUGCUUGUCGGGAUCGCCGAGGACGCUGGUCGCCCCAGCCUGAGGCCGACGCCGCCAGGACCGCUGGGGGAGGGGGACUCGGUUGUGCCCGUGCUUCAAAUAAAACUCUGUCCCUAGUUCA